GCGAGGAUGGCGGAACUGGCAGACGCGCAAGACUUAGGAUCUUGUGUCCAAAAACGUGAGGGUUCGAGUCCCUCUCCUCGCACCA
rnacentral:tRNA from 1 species